UGGGGAAGUAUUGGGCAAUGGGCGAAAGCCUGACCCAGCAACGCCGCGUGAAGGAAGAAGGUCUUUGGAUUGUAAACUUUUGUCCUAUGGGAAGAAGGAAGUGACGGUACCAUGGGAGGAAGCCCCGGCUAACUACGUGCCAGCAGCCGCGGUAAUACGUAGGGGGCGAGCGUUGUCCGGAAUUACUGGGCGUAAAGGGCGCGCAGGCGGCCGAUCAAGUUAGAUGUGAAAUACCUGGGCUUAACCCUGGGAACUGCAUUUAAAAGCUGGUUGGCUAGGAGUGCAGGAGAGGGAAGCGGAAUUCCUAGCGUAGCGGUGAAAUGCGUAGAUAUUAGGAGGAACACCAGUGGCGAAGGCGGCUUUCUGGACUGUAACUGACGCUGAGGCGCGAAAGCGUGGGGAGCGAACAGGAUUAGAUACC
rnacentral:rRNA from 1 species